AGUUUCACACCUGUUAGCCCGGUACGUCUGGGCUCCACUGCUGACUGGUAAACACCUCAAAAGGCCGGUAAAGACCUGCUGACAACAUCCAGCUCAUGCACUGCACCGGAGAGAAAAUGAAAGCUCAGGUUUUCUUCCUGCUCCUCGUUCUUGCCGUCGGAGUUCAGUCGAUGGCCGCCGGUUCUCAUGGGGACUCAGAAGUUGUUCCGGAGGAUGUGGCCGUGGCAGAACUGAAAGGGGAACUGGGAGAAGUCGAGCCAGCUCCACCUAAACCAUUUUCUACAAGUUUGCCAAAAUCUUAGAGCUUUUAUUCAUUGGGACUGUUUGCAUAUCCUCAACUAGGAGUGCAAGAAAAUGGAAAAAAAGAGAGAAACAAAACCAUUUAUCUGAUCAUUUAUGCAUGUACUAAUUGUCACUAAAAAGCAUUUGUGAAAGCCAAGUUUUAUCUGAAUAAGGUGUACAUGUUUAGGCUUAAUUUAUCACACUUCUAAUUUAAUAGAAAUACACAAACACUGUUAUAACAUAGCCAUCCAUCAAAAUUGCACUUUUUUUAAAACCUAACUUGAAACAAAGAGUUAACCUUAAGCAUCUGUAUCUGUUUCAGAUGGUUCAUCUUGUCAGGCAAAUUUACAAAAAUGUAGGGAACUGAUAAUAUAGCCCAUUUAAUCCAGAAAUUCUACCUUAGACCACACACUAUAAACUGCAUAGAAAAAGAAAAAAGAAAGAACGAUUUCAGGACGGCACUUUUUAAUCCAGGGGGAAAGGGGAGGUGCUCUAGCACCACCUAGUGUCUAUCUGUUAUCAUGUAUUUUUGUAAUUUCAUCACCACUCUUGGUUUUAAUGGUUUAGUUUCAUAACACAAUAGUCCCCUAAUGUUCCUGUUUAUGUAAACUUCAACAUAGUAACUGAUGUGUCUGAUGCCAUGUAAAGCACUUUGAGCUGUAUUUGUAUGUAUGAAAGGGGCCAUAUAAAUAAAAGGUUGAUCACUAA